ensembl:lncRNA
GUAACUUUCCAGAAAAACGAAAGGGUUAUGAUGAGAGAUUAUGUCAUACCCUGGCACAUGCUUUGUCCAAUGGACCAUGGAAGGGACUUUACUUGGCUGACGAGGUAAAACGUGUGGCUGGCGCACGAUUCAUUGCAUCUCGUAGAGUAGCAUUCACUGGUAGACAGGCAGGCCUCUAGAUUGUUUAUUAUGAUUUAAUGAAGUGUUCCUAUGUGACGCUGAUGGGCCCUGGUUGCUGCUAAAUGCUUGUUGAAAGUGCAUUGUGCACUUUUUGUAUGUAGCAACAAAAUGAGGGUGGAUAUCACUUUAUAGUUUAUAGGCAUUAUAUACUAAUAAGAAUCAUUGACAAAUCACAUUCCCCUUUUACCACCACAGGACGCACCUCACCAGUAUCAGAGCAACAGCUGUGGGGUGUUUAUGCUGAUGGGGGACAUGCUCUCUAUCAGGAGGUGGUGGUUGGACAGCUGUUGGAGACCUUUAUGCUUGAAAGCCCUGCAGAACUAGCUGGCUCCUUCUCACCCUCUCCAUCUCCCCAUCUCAGUCACACCUUCCAAUCACUAAGCAGUGAAAGCCCUGCAGGACUAGCUGGCACACCAAGCUCACCCUCUCCAUCUCCCCAUCUCAGCCACACGCUCCAAUCUGGCACAACAGAGGACAGGCCAUUCUUACCACCCGAAGUCCUUCAGCAAAUUGUACAAGAGACGCUGAGACUGGACAUGGCGAUGCUUGGCGUGUUCAACAGGGUUUCAAACACAUUCCGAGAACUAAUCAAGCCUCUCCAUCCUUCCAUAUAUAUAAAUGACAGUUUGACAGGGGACAUUAAGCUUAAUAAAAACAAUCUCAUAUACAUAAUGGUUAGAAAGAUUUACAACAAUGCAGGCUGUGGCAGUGGCCUUGCGCUACGUCUCAAAGGCUUCUCAAAAAAGAAGAAUUGGCCAAGCGCACCCCUGGUACUGAGGAACGUUGCAUAUGGCAGGUUUGUCAUAAAAGAUGUCUGCCUAGCAUAAUGUUCUUUUAUUACUCCUUUUUCAUUUUAUUUGGGACGUCUUUUUUGCAAUCCCUUCCAUUUGUAAAUGUACAUACUACUGUAGUAGAUGUAUCUGCCCAGAAAUGCUGGUAUUUUAUUACAAAUGCUAUACGAUGUAUAACAUACAUUUG